UACGUAGGGUGCGAGCGUUAAUCGGAAUUACUGGGCGUAAAGCGUGCGCAGGCGGUCUGUUAAGACCGAUGUGAAAUCCCCGGGCUUAACCUGGGAACUGCAUUGGUGACUGGCAGGCUUUGAGUAUGGCAGAGGGGGGUAGAAUUCCACGUGUAGCAGUGAAAUGCGUAGAGAUGUGGAGGAAUACCGAUGGCGAAGGCAGCCUCCUGGGCCAACACUGACGCUCAUGCACGAAAGCGUGGGGAGCAAACAGG
rnacentral:rRNA from 1 species